rnacentral:rRNA from 1 species
AACGAACGCUGGCGGCAUGCCUAACACAUGCAAGUCGAACGAGACCUUCGGGUCUAGUGGCGCACGGGUGCGUAACGUGUGGGAACCUGCCCUUAGGUUCGGAAUAACUCCCCGAAAGGGGUGCUAAUACCGGAUAAUGUCUUCGGACCAAAGAUUUAUCGCCUUUGGAUGGGCCCGCGUUGGAUUAGCUAGUUGGUAGGGUAAAAGCCUACCAAGGCGACGAUCCAUAGCUGGUCUGAGAGGAUGAUCAGCCACACUGGGACUGAGACACGGCCCAGACUCCUACAGGAGGCAGCAGUGGGGAAUAUUGGACAAUGGGCGAAAGCCUGAUCCAGCAAUGCCGCGUGAGUGAUGAAGGCCUUAGAGUUGUAAAGCUCUUUUACCCGGGAUGAUAAUGACAGUACCGGGAGAAUAAGCUCCGGCUAACUCCGUG